CCAGGGGCUGGGAUGGAUGCCAGGGGCAGAGGUGAAGCUCCCAACUCAACAUUACAUUCUCAUCUUAGGAUUUUUCCUAAUAUUUGGAGGUUCCACCGAAGGGGUUCAUUUUUUCCUGCAGGCCCAGGGUCUAGGGCUAUGCUGGAAUAUGCCCUUUUCAUGUGCUCCGCCAGGAACAUCAGCUUCACUUGCCACCUGCCUUCGCAUCUCCCUUAAAAAGAAGCUGCCUGAGUUCUACAGCAAACCGGAUGCCACCCCAACCACACCGUUCGCUGAGUGUGAGAGAGCCAACUUUUAGCUCUUCCCUCUUCCACAUGGUCCCGUGCCUGUAGGAAGUAGCCAGACUUGAGUCUACGCCCCUUUUUCCAAAGAGAGCCUAAAUGUUAGGCAUAAUUAUCACCUCAACUUCCUAUCACCCCUAUAUCCAAAAAGUCUGGAAUGUAAUAUUAAGUUGGGAACAUCACCCCAGCCACUGGCAUCCAUCCCAGCCCCCUGGCCUGGGAGUUUCAUUUGUCUGAACCCCAAAUCCCAGCAUGCUAGGUUCUGACCCCUCCCCAGGGAAGGGUCAGGACUACUCCCAUAGGUGCCCAGAGGAGGAACACGUGGUCCUGGGUUUUGCAUGUACUCCCCAGUUUUUUGUGUCCCCUGCCAUGCUCUCGGCCACCCAAGAAUGCUGCAUUUAUUAAAACAAGAGUAUUUUAA